CACGGGGGAAGAGUUUUCACUCCUUUUGUUGUUCCACAAAAUGCGGCGCGGUUCCGGAGAGGCGAAUCUGAAGCGUGCCUGCUGUCAGCGCCCCUCUCCUGGAGAGAGGGAGGCGAGACAGAGACGCGGAUGUGUGUGAAACAAAGGGUGAGAGAAUCGAGCAAACAAGACAGACGGACGAUAGAAAAAAAGCACCUGUCGAGAACGCACGGAAAGCCGUGUGCGUCGCCUUCUCGCCGUCUCUCUGCGUAUUUCGGUCGACGAGAAGGUAACCUGAACUGUUUUCUUUAACGCGGGAUGUCUUUCCUGCUUCGUCAGAGAGGGAUGUUCUGUCUUCCGCAGUGGACGGCUUGCCACCGUUUGGCUUCUUUCUCUUCUUCCUGGCGUCUCUCGAGAUGGAGAGCCUUCUUCUCGAUUCGCCGCAUGUUCGCCUCCACAAAGGGAUUCACUCCGCCGUACGCUCGCCUAUAAAGAGACACCGCACGAACGACAGUCAACGGCCACGGCUCGGAGCAGAGAACUCGACGCCGAUGCAACGGGUUUUUGCGUUGAGGAGUAGCGAUGAGCGCACGGACUCCUCAUUCGCAAAUCUGCAUGUGCACCCUGUUUCUAUACAUAAACAGAUGCAUGCAUCCAAGGCGAGGGAGUUAGCCAAGCCUCGUGGUGUACGCUCGCGACCCAGAAGUGUCUAUCGGUGGAGACGAUUGCGCGAACCGCACCCCUUCCCGAGAGGAGUGCACCAACUCAGAGCUUCGGGUCUGGAAAACUCGACGGUACCUGCUGACCACCAGGGCGGCAGCUUGCCGUUUGGCUUCGACAGAAGGAUGGCCGAUGUGCAGUUGCAUCUCCAUGUCCUCUUCCUGCUGGAGCUCAUAGAUGUCUUCCGCACAUUCCCACCCCGGAGCGUACCAGUGCUUCCUCAGUUCGUUCACUUGCUCGAUUUGCCGUCGCUUCUCCUCUUCUCGCUGCCGCGCAACAGCUGCGGAAGAAGCUGAGGAAGACGCCGCUGAGGAGGCCGAAUCCGAGGCGGGAGCGUUUGGGUCCGUACGCGGCUCGGCGGCGGGGGACGCGCCUUCCCGUUUGUCUUUGUUUCCGCUCUCUUGUGACUUUUGCAGCUGGUAAAGCUGUUUCUGCUGCUGCUGGAGUAGGCGCAGCUGAUGCUGGUGAAAGAGGCGUUGAGACGGCGCGCCUUGAGUCCCCGACGCGUUCUGGCCCGACGCGUUUUUGCCUUGCAUAAACCGCAGGCGUCGAAUGUUCUCGGAGAGGACUUUGCCUUUGUCUUCAGCCGAGGGGCUGCGCGAGGCGCCUGUGCGCCGCUCUUGGGUCUUUGCCUUCAUCGUUGAAGCAGAAAGGGACGACACCGCAGAGAGAGGCCAGGAUAUCAGCGAACCCCUGAUUGGGAGCGCGCUCCUUUCACACCGCAGAAAAAAUGCUGGAAAUACAUGCAGACAUCCGGUCGUUAGCGGCAGAAAAGCUGUGACGUGAGCAUCGAUUCACAGACCACACCCGCGGGAAAGCACAAACAGACAUGUCAGCCUCUGGACGCCUCUCUGCACGGGAACCCCGCGAAAGUUGCCGCUAGAAGCUCUCAUCCGAGAUGAAGUCCACGAGCAGAAGAGCUGAGGUCGUCAGACCCCGCCGGUGGCCUUCUGUCCAGAGGUCGAGCGGCCUCCUGAAGUCGUCAGUUGCCGCAACGGCCUUUUUCUCCUCGGUGGGCGAGCCCAGUCGUUUCUCUUCGGGUUUCGCGGGCGAUUCAACCUUGAUAAACUGCGGAACGCUGAACAGUUCCAGGGAAUUCAAAUCGGACGGGGGAGCAAACGGUCAGCCUCGCUUGUCAAGAGGACAACCGCAUGCACAGCUUCGUUGGCGAGGCGUUGCAGCCAAAAAGAAAACGCGCGCAAAAAAAGCGAAUCGAGAGGGAAACGGCGAACCCGGUAUGUCCGUGGGUAAACCCCCUGAAACGCACACAGGACACGGAGAGGAACGAAAGAGAAAAGACAACGGAAAGUGGAGUUUUUGACCGGAAAAUAGCCUGCGGUUGCCGUUGUGCAUGCAGUCGAUGGGUCAUACCUCGCUGAAGGGCGAAAAAUCGUCAACUGCGGCGACGGAGACAAACCGCAAGGAAAGCAACAGCGCAGAUGCACGCCUGGACGGGAAGAGUGAGUAAAUAAGGUGAAGAAGUUCCUCGAGCGCCCAAGACGUCAGCGACUCAGAUUCUCCGUUUUUCCGAUCGAGGGAGCCUCGUGGGUGUGUGUGCCUACCUAAUUUCUCAACAAGCUGUCACACGUCGACUUCGCUCGUAAGAAAAAUAGACGUUUUCACCGUUGGCCCUGGUGUCAGUAAAGGCCGUUUCAAAGGCUUUCGCUUCUAUCUCCGUCUUCGUCUCGGCAACAGCCCACGUGUUUCCUAGAUCAGCUGAUAUCUUUCUUUGUGUUUCUUUUGGUCGCAUUUUUUGACUGGGAGACGCCAACAGACG
rnacentral:lncRNA from 1 species